AUGAACUGUUGUAAUUGCAUUACUGAUGCUGAUAUGAAGCCUCUCUCAGGUAUCUUUGUAAUAUAAACUUUAUUAUAAACUUGAAACAAUUUAAAUAUGGUGUAUUAUUUAUGCUGAUGAUUCAUUGUUGUUUAUGUUUCAGGCCUAAGAAACUUGAAAGAAUUACAAAUCUCCAGCAGCAAGGUCACAGAUAAUGGUGUCACAUUCUUGAAAGGUUUACACAAGCUUGCAUUGCUGAAUAUGGAACGUUGCCCUAUUACUGCAACAUGCCUGGAUUCACUUUCAGAUCUUGUUGCUCUACUUUUUCUGAAUCUAAGCAGAUCUAAUAUCACUGAUGAUGGGUGUGACAAGUUUUCAA